rnacentral:rRNA from 1 species
UGGCGGCAUGCUUACACAUGCAAGUCGGACGGGCAGCACAGAGAAGCUUGCUUCUUGGGUGGCGAGUGGCGAACGGGUGAGUAACAUAUCGGAACGUACCGAGUAAUGGGGGAUAACUAAUCGAAAGAUUAGCUGAUACCGCAUAUUCUCUGAGGAGGAAAGCAGGGGACCUUCGGGCCUUGCGUUAUUCGAGCGGCCGAUAUCUGAUUAGCUAGUUGGUGGGGUAAAGGCCUACCAAGGCGACGAUCAGUAGCGGGUCUGAGAGGAUGAUCCGCCACACUGGGACUGAGACACGGCCCAGACUCCUACGGGAGGCAGCAGUGGGGAAUUUUGGACAAUGGGCGCAAGCCUGAUCCAGCCAUGCCGCGUGUCUGAAGAAGGCCUUCGGGUUGUAAAGGACUUUUGUCAGGGAAGAAAAGGCUGUCGCUAAUACCGACAGUUGAUGACGGUACCUGAAGAAUAAGCACCGGCUAACUACGUGCCAGCAGCCGCGGUAAUACGUAGGGUGCAAGCGUUAAUCGGAAUUACUGGGCGUAAAGCGAGCGCAGACGGUUACUUAAGCAGGAUGUGAAAUCCCCGGGCUCAACCUGGGAACUGCGUUCUGAACUGGGUGACUAGAGUGUGUCAGAGGGAGGUAGAAUUCCACGUGUAGCAGUGAAAUGCGUAGAGAUGUGGAGGAAUACCGAUGGCGAAGGCAGCCUCCUGGGAUAACACUGACGUUCAUGCUCGAAAGCGUGGGUAGCAAACAGGAUUAGAUACCCUGGUAGUCCACGCCCUAAACGAUGUCAAUUAGCUGUUGGGCAACUUGACUGCUUAGUAGCGUAGCUAACCG